GCCACUGUUUUUUCUAUUUAUAUAAAGAACUUUCAGAAUUCGAGAUCAAAUUUUUUAAGCUAAAGACUUCUCCCUCCCCCACAAAUGCUUCGUUCUCAAAGUACCACAAGGGAAAGCUGAAAUAAAGUGAAAAUUAAAAGGAGCAAAAGAGUCUUUCGUACCUUUUGUAUUAUGGUUUAACAAGACUUUUUGGGAAAAUAUUCCAAAGCCCGAAACCUAGAGAGCUAACCCUCUUCUUCUUAACAAGAGAAUACUCCUACUGUUGCAAGAGUAGGGAAAGAGGAAAGGUUAGAAAUGAAAUGUUAAACGCGCUAGGUGAUAGCUGGUUUCUCAAGAAAGAAGUUUUAGCUUCUCCUCCUUAUUGCCGUGAACUCCGGUUUACAACAAGGACAUCCGUUUAGGAAGGAAAGAAAGGGGGAGACAAGUUCCCCUUUCAAGAAGGAAACAACCAAGAGGUCAGGAAAGGUCAACAAGAUUUAAUAAGGUUCAUGAUCAAAGUAGGCCUAAGAGCUGCCACCAUUUUAGGAAAGCGUUAAAGCUCAUAAGAAACGAUAACCAAAAAUAUCUGCAUAGUAAUACCAAACCUGCCCGAGCAGUAUUGAGAAGAACUAUAAUGUUAAAACGAGUAAGUAUAUAAAACAGCUCUGGGUAACGGAAAAUUAAUUUCAUAAACCAAGAACGGUUUCGACAACUCAAGAGAAAGAAACUUCUGAUAUCCCCCCAACGCAGGAACCCCCAGAGCACCGGGAAAAAAGAAAGGAAGGAACUAGGCAAACCUAGAGGAUGACUGUUUACCAAAAACAUAGCCCCUUGACACACUAUAAGGGGUCAAGCCUGCCCAGUGGGAAGGAUCUUCCUCAACGGCCGCGGUAUCUUGACCGUGCAAAGGUAGCAUAAUCACUUGUCUCUUAAAUGGGGACCCGUAUGAAUGGCUUUUCAUCCUUUAACUGUCUCCCUUUCUCACCACACAAACUUCUAUUUACGUGAAGAAGCGUACUUUAGAGAGAAAGACGAGAAGACCCUGUCGAGCUUUAGCUUAUCCUGAAAACUAAGUAUACCCUUCCAGGAAAAACCCUUUUCAGGCCAAGCUUUGGUUGGGGCAACCAUGGAGAAAAGAAAUCCUCCAGUUUUAUAGGAAGAGAACCACUCUCCUCCCCCGUUCUCAAGAACCAACAACUUUGGAAAACGGAAAAAGUUACCGCAGGGAUAACAGCGUUAUCUUUUCUGAGAGCCCUUAUUGACGAAAAGGAUUGCGACCUCGAUGUUGGAUUGGGGUAACCAAAGGGUGCAGCAGCUCUUUAAGGUUGGACUGUUCGUCCAUUAAUUCCCUACAUGAUCUGAGUUCAGACCGACGUGAGUCAGGUCAGCUUCUAUCUUCUACUUAUUCUUCCUAGUACGAAAGGACCGGAAAAAGGUCUUAAAUAGUUUUCACAAAAAGACAAAAAAAAGAAAAAAAAAAAAAAAAAAAAAGAACACUACCACAAACUCAAUGUAGG
rnacentral:rRNA from 1 species